GUGAGGAAUAUUGCGCAAUGGAGGCAACUCUGACGCAGCCAUGCCGCGUGCAGGAAGAAGGCGCUACGCGUUGUAAACUGCUUUUAACCGGGAAGAAACCCCAGGACGUGUCCUGGGUUGACGGUACCGGAGGAAUAAGCACCGGCUAACUUCGUGCCAGCAGCCGCGGUAAUACGAAGGGUGCAAGCGUUAUCCGGAUUCAUUGGGUUUAAAGGGUGCGUAGGCGGAGCGUUAAGUCAGUGGUGAAAUCCUGCAGCUUAACUGUAGACGUGCCAUUGAUACUGGCGCUCUUGAGUGCGCUUGAAGUGGGCGGAAUGUGCCGUGUAGCGGUGAAAUGCUUAGAUAUGGCACAGAACACCAAUUGCGAAGGCAGCUCACUAAGGCGAUACUGACGCUGAGGCACGAAAGCGUGGGGAUCGAACAGGAUUAGAUACCCUUGUAGUCC
rnacentral:rRNA from 1 species